CUGGCGGCAGGCUUAACACAUGCAAGUCGAGCGCACUCUUCGGAGUGAGCGGCGGACGGGUUAGUAACGCGUGGGAACGUGCCCUUCUCUAAGGAAUAGCCUCUGGAAACGGAGAGUAAUACCUUAUACGCCCUUUGGGGGAAAGAUUUAUCGGAGAAGGAUCGGCCCGCGUUAGAUUAGAUAGUUGGUGGGGUAAUGGCCUACCAAGUCUACGAUCUAUAGCUGGUUUGAGAGGAUGAUCAGCAACACUGGGACUGAGACACGGCCCAGACUUCUACGGAAGGCAGCAGUGGGGAAUCUUAGACAAUGGGCGCAAGCCUGAUCCAGCCAUGCCGCGUGAGUGAUGAAGGCCUUAGGGUCGUAAAGCUCUUUCACCAGGGAUGAUAAUGACAGUACCUGGAAAAGAAACCCCGGCUAACUCCGUGCCAGCAGCCGCGGUAAUACGGAGGGGGUUAGCGUUGUUCGGAAUUACUGGGCGUAAAGCGCACGUAGGCGGACUAAUCAGUCAGAGGUGAAAUCCCAGGGCUCAACCCUGGAACUGCCUUUGAUACUGUUAGUCUAGAGUUCGAGAGAGGUGAGUGGAAUUCCGAGUGUAGAGGUGAAAUUCGUAGAUAUUCGGAGGAACACCAGUGGCGAACGCGGCUCACUGGCUCGAUACUGACGCUGAGGUGCGAAAGUGUGGGGAGCAAACAGGAUUAGAUACCCUGGUAGUCCACACCGUAAACGAUGAAUGCCAGUCGUCGGGUAGUAUACUAUU
rnacentral:rRNA from 1 species